CCUACGGGUGGCAGCAGUCGAGAAUUAUUCACAAUGGGGGAAACCCUGAUGGUGCGACGCCGCGUGGGGGAAUGAAGGUCUUCGGAUUGUAAACCCCUGUCAUGUGGGAGCAAAUUAAAAAGAUAGUACCACAAGAGGAAGAGACGGCUAACUCUGUGCCAGCAGCCGUGGUAAUACAGAGGUCUCAAGCGUUGUUCGGAAUCACUGGGCGUAAGGCGUGCGUAGGCUGUUUCGUAAGUCGUGUGUGAAAGGCGCGGGCUCAACCCGCGGACGGCACAUGAUACUGCGAGACUAGAGUAAUGGAGGGGGAACCGGAAUUCUCGGUGUAGCAGUGAAAUGCGUAGAUAUCGAGAGGAACACUCGUGGCGAAGGCGGGUUCCUGGACAUUAACUGACGCUGAGGCACGAAGGCUAGGGGAGCGAAAGGGAUUAGAUACCCGGGUAGUC
rnacentral:rRNA from 1 species